CACAGCUGCAGUGUGCAUGGAAUGAAAAGGUAUCUGUGCUUGGCCGCCAGAGCGCCCAGUAUCCUGACCUUCUGAACAAAGCAACCCUCCCUCUGUUUUUAAUGGGUAUCCAGUCGGAAUUCUUUAUUAACACCACCCGAGCGGGUCCAGGGACAUUAUCCGUCACCAUCGAAGGCCCAUCCAAGGUUAAAAUGGAUUGCCAGGAAACACCUGAAGGGUACAAAGUCAUGUACACCCCCAUGGCUCCUGGUAACUACCUGAUCAGCGUCAAAUACGGUGGGCCCAACCACAUCAUGGGCAGUCCCUUCAAGGCCAAGGUGACAGGCCAGCGUCUAGUUAGCCCCGGCUCAGCCAACGAGACCUCAUCCAUCCUGGUGGAGUCAGUGACCAGGUCUUCUACAGAGACCUGCUAUAGUGCCAUUCCCAAGGCAUCCUCGGACGCCAGCAAGGUGACCUCUAAGGGGGCAGGGCUCUCAAAGGCCUUUGUGGGCCAGAAGAGUUCCUUCCUGGUGGACUGCAGCAAAGCUGGCUCCAACAUGCUGCUGAUCGGGGUCCAUGGGCCCACCACCCCCUGCGAGGAGGUCUCCAUGAAGCAUGUAGGCAACCAGCAAUACAACGUCACAUACGUCGUCAAGGAGAGGGGCGAUUAUGUGCUGGCUGUGAAGUGGGGGGAGGAACACAUCCCUGGCAGCCCUUUUCAUGUCACAGUGCCUUAAAACAGUUUUCUCAAAUCCUGGAGAGAGUUCUUGUGGUUGCUUUUGUUGCUUGUUUGUAAUUCAUUUUAUACAAAGCCCUCCAGCCUGUUUGUGGGGCUGAAACCCAUCCCUAAAAUAUUGCUGUUGUAAAAUGCCUUCAGAAAUAAGUCCUAGACUGGACUCUUGAGGGACAUAUUGGAGAAUCUUAAGAAAUGCAAGCUUGUUCAGUGGGCUGA
rnacentral:sRNA from 1 species